CUCCCUCUCUCACACGCCCCCCCCUCUCUCUCUCUGCAUGCGGGAAGGUUGGAUACGUCAGCGUGAGUGAGGGCGUUGAGUGAGCUUGAGCGUGUUUUUUUGGAUUAAUUCACGUGUUCUCUACUGCUUUCACUUUUCUUUUCUUCUCCAAAUGGUGAGCCCACGAAGACGUCCUUUGGUACCUGUUUGAGGACGUUGUGCGUCUCAUCCCAGCCCCGAGGCCGGUCACAGGUCGUCACACGCAGAUUGAGAAAGAAGUCUGGGCCAGACUAGAGAGGCAGCUUCUUAGAAAAGAAGAAGAUGGAGAGAAGCUACACUGUGCAGGAGCCAGAAACACCCACCCAUGGGCAUGCUGAAGGAGCAAGACCCCCCUCCCCCCCCGUCUCCCCGUCUCUCUCUCCCUCCCUCCCUUUCCAACUCCUUUGCUGUGAAGAAUACAUGGCACAUCCCUUCAACACAGAAAUCUCACAACGCACAACAUGCAUACACACACACACAUGCACACACAUACGGACACACGUUUCUGUU